CCUACGGGGGGCAGCAGUGGGGAAUAUUUCACAAUGGGCGAAAGCCUGAUGCAGCAACGCCGCGUGAAGGAUGAAGGCCUUCGGGUUGUAAACCUCUUUUAUAAGGGAAAAAAAUGAUGGUACCUGAGGAAUAAGGUUCGGCUAACUACGUGCCAGCAGCCGCGGUAAUACGUAGGAGGCGAGCGUUAUCCGGAUUGACUGGGUGUAAAGGGUUGGUAGAGGGGAUUGAAAGUCUGGAGUGAAAAGCGGGGGCUAAACCCUCAGAGUGUUAUAGAAACUGUAAGGCUUGAGAGCAGUAGAGGUAAGUGGAAUUCCUAGUGUAGGGGUGAAAUGCGUAGAUAUUAGGAGGAACACC
rnacentral:rRNA from 1 species